UUAAGUGUGGUGAUGCUCAUGUGCACCCGUAGCUUCUGAAAAUGAGAAAGUAAUCCUGUUCCCAUUUUUCCUUUAUCACCAACCCAAAACCCUAAUUCCUCUGAAACAAAACCGAAACUUUUCCCCCUCCUGAUGCUUUAAUCGGCCGGGUCGGGUCGGGCUAUUGUGCAUUCCGAACUAGCCCGUGUGAAUGUUUCGAUCGAAGAUGGAGAAGGAGAAGUGGUUCCAUUUUAGGGGAACAAGUAAAUACUCUGAUUUUGAGGGUAUUCCUCCUACAAUGACAUGAACAGGCUGCUUAAAAGAUGAUUGAGAUCAUAGUGACUCUUUCAACGGAGUGGGAUGCCCAGGAGCAUUUUACAAGAAGGAAGAUAUGAUUGUUCAAUGAUUUUGACUGAGUCUUACAACUCCAAGUCUCCAAGCUCAGAAAUCAGACUGAGGCAUUUAGAGAAAAUUUUUUCAUUUGAAGUUGUGAAAAUGGAAGCCUCCAAUUCAUCCAUGACACAUCAUUGUACUACCUCUCGGCCUAUCAACUAAUUAUUUAAUUUUGCAUCUCAAUCCCUCAGUUUCUCAAUUUUGUCCUUGCUCAUCUUUAUGAAGCUUGCUUCUGUAAAUUACACAUGCAAAUGCAAAGUCAAAUGGUACCAUAGCUACACAUCACACUUGCCAACCAACCCCCUUACUUCUGUCUUUGAGAUUGUCAAAUUAUUCAACCAUUAUUUUUUGCAGCUA